UACGAAGGGUGCUAGCGUUGCUCGGAAUGACUGGGCGUAAAGGGCGCGUAGGCGGUUUGGACAGUCAGGCGUGAAAUUCCUGGGCUUAACCUGGGGGCUGCGCUUGAUACAUCUGGACUUGAGUGGGGAAGAGGGUCGUGGAAUUCCCAGUGUAGAGGUGAAAUUCGUAGAUAUUGGGAAGAACACCGGUGGCGAAGGCGGCGACCUGGUCCUUGACUGACGCUGAGGCGCGAAAGCGUGGGGAGCAAACAGG
rnacentral:rRNA from 1 species